AAGCUUUGAUAUCAAUUGACCUGACCUCUGAUAAAUGUUUUAUCUAACAACCAAUUUAAUUUUAAUGGAAGUGGUAUUAUUUGAUCCACCGCUAACAUGCUUACAACUUCUGCUCUCCUGAUAAUAUCACAUUUUUAUUUGUCCUUUAUUUACCCUUGUUUACUACAUUUUGUCGACACGUGGCCACCUUAAACCUUUAGAAUGAUUAAAACUGCAACUUUCUAUCAACACGUGUUCGCCUUUAACCUCAAACGUCAGUUCUGGAUGGGUAUAUAGCGUUCUCCUCCUCAGAGAGUUGAUCAAGUUCAAUUUUUGACUUCUACUCGUUCGCUCCUCACUUCACAAAAAAAUGGAGCAAAUCGUUGAGCAACCAAUGGUGGAAUCCGAUAACGAAUCGCAGAUUUCCGAAGCCAUAGACCAGAAUACAAAGAAAUCUACAUCUAAAAUUGGAGAUUUAUUUGUUCGUGACCUUCAGUAACCUAGCCUGCUUAUAUCCUCAUCACAAAAAUGUCUAAAAGACCUUUGUCAAGCACUUCAAGAGAUGAGUCAAUGGAAAUUGAUUUUCACCGUGAAAGUAGCAGAAAAAAGCAACGUCUUGAAGCUUGUCACAGUGGUAACGUUUUUGUAGAACUUAAGAGUGCUUUUAGAGGAAUUUUGAAAACUUAUUACCUCAAAAACGGAUGCGAUGAGGUAAAAGACAUUGCUUUGUUUUUAGAAUCACAUAAAGUAAAACUUAUAGAAUUGGUAAAUCAACAGUUAAGUGUUAAUGGUGCAGUGAAAUUUAAUCUUGUGUUUGAAUGUACGUAUAUUAAACCACUUAGUGAAGAAACUCAGGCAAGAGCCUUUAAGACUAAGAAUAAAAAGAUUUUGUAUGACUCUUCAAUUGAU